rnacentral:rRNA from 15 species
UGGCUGGAAGGCCUGGGUAAUCUGUGAACGUGUGUCGUGAUAGGGAUAGAUUAUUGCAAUUAUUAAUCUUGAACGAGGAAUUCCUAGUAAACGCGAGUCAUCAGCUCGCAUUGAUUACGUCCCUGCCCUUUGUACACACCGCCCGUCGCUUCUACUGAUGAAACAAAUGAUGAGGGGCUGGGACUGACUG